rnacentral:tRNA from 2 species
CGGGAAAUAGAUCAAUCGGGAGAUUAUCUGCUUUGGGAGCAGAAGGUUGUGGGUUCGAGUCCCAUUUUCCUGA